rnacentral:lncRNA from 1 species
GCGGCCCGGAGCUGCCGAGCCGGGUGGACAGGUGGGCGUGGACAGCGCGACCGGCGGAGCUGGCCCGCCAUCCUGCCGCGGCCCUGACCCCCGGGGUGCGCUGGCUGCUGGGGUCAAAUCCGAGCUGACCUUUCUCCGGGGGAAAGAUAAAUUAUUAUGGUUGUGUGUGAGCGUCAGUGCAAAUGUUUUCCGAGUCCUCCUCCGGCUCCGGGUGCUGUUUGAAUCCCCCGCAUUCCUCAGCCCUGGGCAGGGAGCGGCCGCGGCCUUUGUGUCUCCGGGGAGCGCACGCCACCUCGGAAGCGACAGCGAACCAGAGUUAAAGAACAGGAGAGACAUUAGCGUUACCCUUCCGCUCAGAUGA